rnacentral:rRNA from 1 species
GCGACGUGUGAUAUUUGCGGGUGUGGGGAUGAGGAUGAACAUCACGCAGUGGUAGAAUGUACUAAGAGUAGGGCACUCAGACACAAAAUGAGGAAGGAGUGGAAUAUCCCAUCUGAAAAGCUAUUCCGGAAUACUGGUGAAGAUUGGCUGCAGAUCUUACUGAGCUCUGUCUUGAAGGAUGUCCGCGUGAAAAUUUUGUUGUUGCUGUGGAGGUGCUGGCACCUUCGGGACAAUUGCAUUCAUGGUGAUGGCAAGGAAUCGGUUGGAGCAUCCGCUGCCUACCUGUCGAACAUGUAUGAGGAGUGGAUGAACAGGGGUGAAGCCGGACAGGUGCCCGACGGGAAGGACAGGGGGGUUCAGACAAACUCCUACCCAAGUACACAUCAAAAUCAAAUAAGGCAAUGGACUGCACCCCCGAGGGGCACUGCGAAGCUGAAUACCGAUGCCUCCUUCAUGCCAAACUCCAGCCAAUGUUGGGGUGGCGCAGUUGCUCGAGAUCAUAAAGGGCAUGUCUUCCUGUCUGUAGGAAGAGAGUUGGGCGAAGCAAUUGAUGCCCAGGAAGCAGAGGGGCUUGCAAGCGUUGUCGCCCCGCUAUAA